rnacentral:tRNA from 1 species
AUCAGAAUAGCUCAAUAAAAGAGUGUUGUGUUGAAGCCGCAAAGGUGACUUGUUAGUCUUUUGAUA